UACAGAGGUCCCAAGCGUUGUUCGGAUUCAUUGGGCGUAAAGGGCGCGUAGGCGGCGGGGUAAGUCUGGUGUGAAAUCUCGGAGCUCAACUCCGAAAUUGCACUGGAUACUGCUCUGCUAGAGGGCUGGAGAGGAGAUCGGAAUUCACGGUGUAGCAGUGAAAUGCGUAGAUAUCGUGAGGAAGACCAGUGGCGAAGGCGGAUCUCUGGACAGCUCCUGACGCUGAGGCGCGAAGGCUAGGGGAGCAAACGGG
rnacentral:rRNA from 1 species